rnacentral:rRNA from 1 species
AGUCCAACCUAAAGUAACUCAGAUUCCUAUUAAUCCCUCACCUUACUUUAGAGCAAUUCAAAUGAGGUACAGCCCGUUUGAAAAAGGAUACAACCUUCACUAACGGGUAAUACUUUACUUUCACCUUCAAGUAGGCUUAAGAGCAGCCACCUUUUUAAAAGCGUCAAAGCUUAAUUCUGUUUAAUACUAAUUUAAAAAACAACAUUGACCCCUUUAACUGUACUGAGAACUUCUAUAAUAAUAUAGAACCUUUUAUGCUAAAACUAGUAACAAGAGAAAACUCCUCUCUUUAAUGCCAACAUACGCCAACAGGAACCCCUCACUGGCAAUUAACAGACCUAAACAAAAGUAACAACCUCACUAGAAAAUCCUACUCUUACACCUGUUAACCUAACACCAGAGCAUUUCAAGAAAGAUUAAAAGAAAAAGAAGGAACUCGGCAAACCUUAGCCCCGCCUGUUUACCAAAAACAUCGCCUCUUGUCUUCAUAAGAGGUACAGCCUGCCCAGUGACUCUGUUCAACGGCCGCGGUAUCCUAACCGUGCAAAGGUAGCGUAAUCACUUGUUUUCUAAAUAAAGACUAGUAUGAAAGGCAUCACGAGGACUAAACUGUCUCCUUUUUCUAAUCAGUGAACCUAAUUUCCCCGUGAAGAAGCG